UCUGACUACCCGACCUGUCCACAAUGGAAGGUCACACAUUCUCGCUGAUUUCAGGAGCUAUUGAUUAUGCGUA
rfam:Citrobacter rodentium ICC168, complete genome